rnacentral:rRNA from 1 species
AGUGAACGCUGGCGGUAGGCCUAACACAUGCAAGUCGAACGGCAGCACAGUAAGAGCUUGCUCUUACGGGUGGCGAGUGGCGGACGGGUGAGGUAUACAUCGGAAUCUACUCUUUCGGGGGGGAUAACGUAGGGAAAGUUACGCGAAUACAGCAUACGACCCACGGGGGAAAGCGGGGGCUCUUCGUACCUUGGGCGAUUGAAUGAGCGGAUGUCGAAUUAGUUAUUUGGCGGGGUAAAGGCCCACCAAGGCGACGAUCCGUAGCUGGUCUGAGAGGAUGAUCGGCCACACUGGAACUGAGACACGGUCCAGACUCCUACGGGAGGCAGCAGUAGGGAAUAUUGGACAAUGGGCGCAAGCAUGAUCCAGCCAUACCGCGUGGGUGGAGAAGGCCUUCGGGUUGUAAAGCCCUUUUGUUGGGAGAGAAAAGCAGCAGUUUAAUACCACGAUGUACUGACGGUACCCAAAGAAUAAGCACCGGCUAACUUCGUG